CGUGUAGGCGGAGAUGCAAGUUGGGAGUGAAAUCCCGGGGCUCAACCCCGGAACUGCUUUCAAAACUGCAUCCCUUGAGUGUCGGAGAGGCAAGCGGAAUUCCUAGUGUAGCGGUGAAAUGCGUAGAUAUUAGGAGGAACACCAGUGGCGAAGGCGGCUUGCUGGACGAUAACUGACGCUGAGGCGCGAAAGCGUGGGGAGCAAACA
rnacentral:rRNA from 1 species